GAACGUUGAUUUGCGAGCCGCGCGAUGUGACAUCAUUAUCGUCGGAUAUCGUAACAAGCUGGCAAUUCACAUGAUUUUAUUAUUCUAUAAGUGUUCACAUACACAGAUCAGUCGACGAGUGAUGAAGCACGAAUUGCGCUCAAUAGUGACUGGAGUGCAACAUAUUAUUAUCGAAAUAGUAAAAGAAUUUAAAGGAGCAAUUUAUGUAAAAAUACGUGUACUUCAAUUUACGGCUGCCAAAGCAUCUGCAGCAUCAGAAGGGCAAAUGAACUGAAGAAGAGUAACAUCAUCCGCAUACAUGAGAAGUUUGGAGAAGACUGAAGACGGGUUAUAGAAGAUCACCGACGAAGAUUAAAAAGCAAAUGACCAAGAACAAAGCCUUGCGGUACUUUGGAGGGAACGUUGCGAUGGAA